rnacentral:rRNA from 1 species
AGUGAACGCUGGCGGAAUGCUUUACACAUGCAAGUCGAACGGCAGCACGGGGGCAACCCUGGUGGCGAGUGGCGAACGGGUGAGUAAUACAUCGGAACGUGCCCAGUCGUGGGGGAUAACGUAGCGAAAGCUACGCUAAUACCGCAUACGAUCUACGGAUGAAAGCGGGGGAUCGCAAGACCUCGCGCGAUUGGAGCGGCCGAUGGCAGAUUAGGUAGUUGGUGGGGUAAAGGCCCACCAAGCCGACGAUCUGUAGCGGGUCUGAGAGGAUGAUCCGCCACACUGGGACUGAGAC